rnacentral:tRNA from 1 species
CGGGCAGUAGCUCAGUGGUUGAGCUCCCACUUCGUAUGCGGGAAGAUCUGGGUUCGAUUCUCGGCUGCCGA